rnacentral:misc_RNA from 1 species
GAUUCACGUGGUAGAAGUCAAAAUGGCUGCCACUUUCUUUAAUCGACUUGCAGGGCUUGGUUUAGGAGUUGCAGUAGCCGGUGGAGUGGUAAAUACUGCUUUAUUUAACGUCGANGGUGGCCAUCGUGCAGUUAUCUUUGACAGAUUCCAAGGAGUUAAACCAGAUGUUGUUGGUGAAGGUACACACUUUUUAAUUCCAUGGGUGCAACGACCUAUUAUUUUCGAUAUCCGAACUAGACCAAGAAAUGUACCAGUCACAACAGGAAGUAAAGAUUUACAGACUGUAAACAUCACCCUCAGGAUUCUGUUCCGACCAAAAUCUCAAGCUCUACCCAAAAUAUACAUGAAUCUUGGCGAGGAUUAUGAUGAAAGAGUUCUUCCAUCCAUUACNACUGAAGUGCUUAAAGCUGUUGUUGCUCAGUUUGAUGCCGGGGAACUUAUUACGCAAAGAGAACUGGUUUCACAAAAAGUCCAAGAAGAUCUGUUAGAGCGUGCUGCAAGUUUUGGGUUGAUGCUCGAUGACAUUUCUUUGACCCAUUUGACAUUUGGUAGAGAAUUUACAGAAGCUGUUGAACUUAAGCAAGUUGCUCAGCAAGAUGCUGAAAGGGCGAGGUUUCUUGUAGAAAGAGCUGAGCAGCUAAAGCAAGCAGCAAUCAUAACAGCAGAGGGUGAUGCACGUGGUGCUCAGAUGCUUGCAAACUCUUUUAAAGAAGCCGGCGAGGGUCUUGUGGAACUCCGAAAGAUCGAAGCAGCAGAAGAAAUUGCAGACAGGAUGUCCAAAUCAAGAAAUGUUGCUUAUCUGCCAGGAGGGCAGAAAAUGCUUUUAAAUCUUCCUGUUUCAAGAUGAUGCUAAAAUACACUUUUUUGAUCGAUUUGAUUGAACACCAAUGUCUACUGAUAUCCCUGAUUGAAGGUGAUAAUUGUGUUUCUGAGUAGUUAACAGUCAUGGAUAGCAACUAUAAUCAGUGCAAAGUAAAGAAAAAUAAAGCCGAUUUUCAUGAUUUGA